AGUGAACGCUGGCGGUAGGCCUAACACAUGCAAGUCGAACGGCCGCACAGUAAGAUCUUGCCUUUACGGGUGGCGACUGGCGGACGGGUGAGGCAUACAUCGGAUUCUUCUUUUUCUUGGGGGAUUACGUAGGGAAACUUAUGCUACUACAGCAUACGACCUACGGGUGAAUGCAGGGGAUCUUCGGACCUUGCGCGAUUGAUUGAGCUGAUGCCGGAUUAGCUAGUUGGCGAGGUAAAGGCCCACCAAGGCGACGAUGCGUAGCUGAUCUGAGAGGAUGAUCAGCCACACUGGAACUGAGACACGGUCCAGACUCCUACGGGAGGCAGCAGUAGGGAAUAUUGGGCAAUGGGCGAAAGCCUGAUCGAGCCAUAUCGCGUGAGUGAUGAAGGCCUUCGGGUUGUAAAGCCCUGUUGUUAGGAAAGAAAAACAGCGUAAUAAUACCCCGAUGUUCUGACGGUACCCAAUGAGAAAGCAACGGCUAACUUCGUG
rnacentral:rRNA from 1 species